rnacentral:rRNA from 1 species
CACGUAGGGAGCGAGCGUUGUCCGGAAUUACUGGGCGUAAAGGGCGCGUAGGCGGGGACUUAAGUCAGGUGUGAAAACUCCAAGCUCAACUUGGAGACUGCACUUGAAACUAAGUUUCUUGAGGGCAGGAGAGGAAAGUGGAAUUCCUAGUGUAGCGGUGAAAUGCGUAGAUAUUAGGAGGAACACCAGUGGCGAAGGCGACUUUCUGGACUGUACCUGACGCUGAGGCGCGAAAGCGUGGGGAGCGAACGGGAUUAGAUACCCCUGUAGUCCCUGAGCGGG